ACUACAAACCGGGUUAUCGCUAUGCCGCAAGGCAGAGAGGAAAGUCCGGACAACACAGAGCAAUGCACCGGUUAAGCGCCGGGUCCGUAGCUGAUUGUACAUGCGAUCCCUGCGGAACAGAUAGUGCCACAGAAAAUAACUGCCCUGCGCAAGCAGAGGUAAAGGUGAAAACGUGGGGUAAGAGCCCACGGCGGUGCCGGGUAAUCGGCAUCGGGGGUAAACCUUGCAUGUUGAAAUGCCAUGUAUACCAAUCAAUGAAGUUGCUCGCUUCGUUCACGCAAGUGAAGAUUGGGUGGGUAGGCAGCUAGAGCCGUUCAGUAAUGGGCGGCGCAGAUAAAUGAUAGCCAUGUUUUCCGAAAGGAAUGCAUACAGGAUCCGGCUUACAGGUUUGUAGUUGAA
rnacentral:RNase_P_RNA from 1 species